UACGUAGGGGGGCAAGCGUUGUCCGGAAUCAUUGGGCGUAAAGAGCGUGUAGGCGGCCCGGUAAGUCCGCUGUGAAAGUCCAGGGCUCAACCCUGGGAUGCCGGUGGAUACUGUCGGGCUCGAGUCCGGAAGAGGAGUGUGGAAUUCCUGGUGUAGCGGUGAAAUGCGCAGAUAUCAGGAGGAACACCAGUGGCGAAGGCGGCUCACUGGCCCGGUACUGACGCUGAGGUGCGAAAGCGUGGGGAGCAAUCCGG
rnacentral:rRNA from 1 species